rnacentral:lncRNA from 1 species
CCCACCAACUGCCCUUUAUAUAUACACCACUAUUCAUUGUACUCUAAUGAUAUCCAUAUUGCUGCGUGUGAAAUUUAAAAUCAUUUACGUUACAGCCAGUAUAAUAUGUCACAUACUUUAUUGGCCUGUAACCUAAUGGUUUUAGCUUUCUAGGUAAGAAUUCGCCCUCUUACAUGAUUUGCAUAAGAAUAAAUUGGAAGAAAUUAAAAUAAAUAAAAUGACAAUGGUCGCUUACCAGUUGAUGGAAUCAAUUUGCAAAGUUUUGUAAGUGUUAAUUAAGAAUUUCUUUCUCGCUUAUCAUCGAGUUGUCCCAUCUCAGCAUCUCAUCAAAUUGCCUAUAU